rnacentral:lncRNA from 10 species
GAGGAGGUGACCGAGGGGCAGCUGGGGAACAUGGCGCACACCCCAGGCUCCAGGGAUGGCCCUGCUGGUAGUGCGGUCUAACGGGAGGCAAUAACUCAUGACUGAGUAUGUCUCCCCUCAACCCAUCACCCUGUACCUGCCCGCAGUGGAGUGUGCACCUGUGCUCAGGUAUGGGGACAGAUGUGCUCCUACGGCUGUGUUUCCUCUGCACAGGUGUGGGAGGCCUGUGCAGGAGCUUAGCCGGGUGCGGUGGCGGGCACCUGUAGUCCCAGCUACUCGGGAGGCUGAGGCAGGAGAAUGGCGUGAACCCAGGAGGCAGAGCUUGCAGUGAGCCGAGAUCGCGCCACUGCACUCCAGCCUGGGCGACAGAGCGAGACGCUAAUGGAAUUUCCAAGCAAAGGUGCAAGCCUGACACUGCAUGAGGGGCCCUCACGCCAGUGCCUCUACUUACGUCACCCUCAGAUCUCCACACAGGCGCACCUCGGCCACUAGUCUGACCCCCAGCCUCGCUGAGCCCCUGCUCAAAAGCGCUGUUUCCAGGCCUGUGGGUUCCAGAGACCACGGUGACUAAGGGCCCGACCCUGACUACAGCAGAUGGGAAGUUACUUAAUCUCCCAGGGCCUCAGUUUCCACAUGGAUGGCAUGACACUCCCACACCUCGUUAGGGGCUCGCGGAUGGCCUGACGCCUGACACAGGCAGUGCGAGAGUCCACAGGUCGGCAGCCUUCAGCAGCGACAAUGGUCCCUGACAGUCCUCUGUUCACAGCUCCUGCAGAUGGUGGUGGACCAGCAACAACUGAGGGCCCCACGGUCCAAGGACAGUUUAGAGAACUCGCAGCAGCAACAUCACAAUCACAAGUAAAGCAUAUUUAACUUUUAGAAACAGGAUAUAAAACCUGCAGCCAGGCUGGGCGCGGUGGCUCACGCCUGUAAUCCCAGCACUUUGGGAGGCCAAGGCGGGCGGAUCACGAGAUCAGGAGAUGGAGACCAUCCUGGCUAACACAGUGAAACCCCAUCUCUACUAAAAAUACAAAAAAUUAGCUGGGCGUGGUGGCGGGCGCCUGUAGUCCCAGCUCUAGGGAGGCUGAGGCAGGAGAAUGGCGUGAACCCGGGAGGUGGAGGUUGCAGUGAGCUGAGACCGUGCCACUGCACUCCAGGCUGGGCGAAAGAGCGAGACUCCUUCUCAAAAAAAAAAAGAAAACAAAAAAAAAAUUACACUUAACAUCUUAACAUCUCCAGAAAGAUUUUGAUCUAAACAAUGUUGAUCUAAACCAAAAAAAAAAAAAAAAAGUAUAAUUUUUUGAGUGUAUAUUCAGAAAGCAAGGGCAGGAAAAAAAUGUAUUGAAAAGAUAUGAAAACACAACAAAAAGAAAUGCAAAAUAUAUGAAAGAUUUAAAAUUUAAAGGAUCACUCUAAAUGGUCCAAAAUCUAAAUAAGAUCUCAAAUAAGUUCUAAAAUGAGAAAUGGUAAAGAUGGAGAGAAGGAAUUAUCAAAGAAAUAACAUUUCUGGCCAGAUGCAAUCAAUGGCUCACACCUGCAAUUUCAACUCUCUGAGAGGCCAAAGUAGGAGG